rnacentral:rRNA from 1 species
CGGCGAUUUCCGAAUGGGGAAACCCAGUGUGUUUCGACACACUAUCAUUAACUGAAUCCAUAGGUUAAUGAGGCGAACCGGGGGAACUGAAACAUCUAAGUACCCCGAGGAAAAGAAAUCAACCGAGAUUCCCCCAGUAGCGGCGAGCGAACGGGGAGCAGCCCAGAGCCUGAAUCAGUGUGUGUGUUAGUGGAAGCGUCUGGAAAGGCGCGCGAUACAGGGUGACAGCCCCGUACACAAAAAUGCACAUGCUGUGAGCUCGAUGAGUAGGGCGGGACACGUGGUAUCCUGUCUGAAUAUGGGGGGACCAUCCUCCAAGGCUAAAUACUCCUGACUGACCGAUAGUGAACCAGUACCGUGAGGGAAAGGCGAAAAGAACCCCGGCGAGGGGAGUGAAAAAGAACCUGAAACCGUGUACGUACAAGCAGUGGGAGCCUCUUUAUGGGGUGACUGCGUACCUUUUGUAUAAUGGGUCAGCGACUUAUAUUCUGUAGCAAGGUUAACCGAAUAGGGGAGCCGAAGGGAAACCGAGUCUUAACUGGGCGUUAAGUUGCAGGGUAUAGACCCGAAACCCGGUGAUCUAGCCAUGGGCAGGUUGAAGGUUGGGUAACACUAACUGGAGGACCGAACCGACUAAUGUUGAAAAAUUAGCGGAUGACUUGUGGCUGGGGGUGAAAGGCCAAUCAAACCGGGAGAUAGCUGGUUCUCCCCGAAAGCUAUUUAGGUAGCGCCUCGUGAACUCAUCUCCGGGGGUAGAGCACUGUUUCGGCAAGGGGGUCAUCCCGACUUACCAACCCGAUGCAAACUGCGAAUACCGGAGAAUGUUAUCACGGGAGACACACGGCGGGUGCUAACGUCCGUCGUGAAGAGGGAAACAACCCAGACCGCCAGCUAAGGUCCCAAAGUCAUGGUUAAGUGGGAAACGAUGUGGGAAGGCCCAGACAGCCAGGAUGUUGGCUUAGAAGCAGCCAUCAUUUAAAGAAAGCGUAAUAGCUCACUGGUCGAGUCGGCCUGCGCGGAAGAUGUAACGGGGCUAAACCAUGCACCGAAGCUGCGGCAGCGACACUAUGUGUUGUUGGGUAGGGGAGCGUUCUGUAAGCCUGUGAAGGUGUACUGUGAGGUAUGCUGGAGGUAUCAGAAGUGCGAAUGCUGACAUAAGUAACGAUAAAGCGGGUGAAAAGCCCGCUCGCCGGAAGACCAAGGGUUCCUGUCCAACGUUAAUCGGGGCAGGGUGAGUCGACCCCUAAGGCGAGGCCGAAAGGCGUAGUCGAUGGGAAACAGGUUAAUAUUCCUGUACUUGGUGUUACUGCGAAGGGGGGACGGAGAAGGCUAUGUUGGCCGGGCGACGGUUGUCCCGGUUUAAGCGUGUAGGCUGGUUUUCCAGGCAAAUCCGGAAAAUCAAGGCUGAGGCGUGAUGACGAGGCACUACGGUGCUGAAGCAACAAAUGCCCUGCUUCCAGGAAAAGCCUCUAAGCAUCAGGUAACAUCAAAUCGUACCCCAAACCGACACAGGUGGUCAGGUAGAGAAUACCAAGGCGCUUGAGAGAACUCGGGUGAAGGAACUAGGCAAAAUGGUGCCGUAACUUCGGGAGAAGGCACGCUGAUAUGUAGGUGAGGUCCCUCGCGGAUGGAGCUGAAAUCAGUCGAAGAUACCAGCUGGCUGCAACUGUUUAUUAAAAACACAGCACUGUGCAAACACGAAAGUGGACGUAUACGGUGUGACGCCUGCCCGGUGCCGGAAGGUUAAUUGAUGGGGUUAGCGGUAACGCGAAGCUCUUGAUCGAAGCCCCGGUAAACGGCGGCCGUAACUAUAACGGUCCUAAGGUAGCGAAAUUCCUUGUCGGGUAAGUUCCGACCUGCACGAAUGGCGUAAUGAUGGCCAGGCUGUCUCCACCCGAGACUCAGUGAAAUUGAACUCGCUGUGAAGAUGCAGUGUACCCGCGGCAAGACGGAAAGACCCCGUGAACCUUUACUAUAGCUUGACACUGAACAUUGAGCCUUGAUGUGUAGGAUAGGUGGGAGGCUUUGAAGUGUGGACGCCAGUCUGCAUGGAGCCGACCUUGAAAUACCACCCUUUAAUGUUUGAUGUUCUAACGUUGACCCGUAAUCCGGGUUGCGGACAGUGUCUGGUGGGUAGUUUGACUGGGGCGGUCUCCUCCUAAAGAGUAACGGAGGAGCACGAAGGUUGGCUAAUCCUGGUCGGACAUCAGGAGGUUAGUGCAAUGGCAUAAGCCAGCUUGACUGCGAGCGUGACGGCGCGAGCAGGUGCGAAAGCAGGUCAUAGUGAUCCGGUGGUUCUGAAUGGAAGGGCCAUCGCUCAACGGAUAAAAGGUACUCCGGGGAUAACAGGCUGAUACCGCCCAAGAGUUCAUAUCGACGGCGGUGUUUGGCACCUCGAUGUCGGCUCAUCACAUCCUGGGGCUGAAGUAGGUCCCAAGGGUAUGGCUGUUCGCCAUUUAAAGUGGUACGCGAGCUGGGUUUAGAACGUCGUGAGACAGUUCGGUCCCUAUCUGCCGUGGGCGCUGGAGAACUGAGGGGGGCUGCUCCUAGUACGAGAGGACCGGAGUGGACGCAUCACUGGUGUUCGGGUUGUCAUGCCAAUGGCAC